UGGAAAUACAGCAUGUCCCUUUGGAGAUGGAUGUAGUUCCUUGGCAAGCUCUUUCAUGUCAUAAUUAACAUAAGAAGGGGACUAUAUGCUGACUGUAAAUUAGAACCAUCAUUCUAGUGAUUAUAAUUUUUAGUGAAGAAUGAUGGAAUGAUAAUUAGUAAUAGAAGUGUCUUCUUCCCACUGAGUGACUUCCUUUGUGUGAAGUGGAUGCAUAGGACCAAGUGUGCACAAGAAAUAAGCCUGAGGGACCCCUGGUGCCUUUGGUGCUGUCAAAAUUCUGCCAGCUCACCAGAAGAGGGUGUUACUUAUUUUGGCUUCAUAAAUAAUGAAGAAAAGAAAAGAGUUAUCAAGUUGAAGAACUUUAGUGGAUAGGGUGUGUUUCAUAUAGCUCCUGCAGGAGGACGGGGUUUGUGUGGCUUGGUGUUCAAAAGGUAAGUAGUCUGAUCUAAGGUUUGAGUUGCAUUUGAUUCAUCUCAGUGAUUGCGGGGCUUGAAUAGACAGAGUAAAGUUACAGAAUGUUGGGGCAACGUGUUCUACUAUGGAGCCUGGCCCCAUGGUGCUAGCAAGAUGGACUGGGGCUUAGAAGCACAUGGACACCUCUUUGACGAUGGGUUUGGAGGAAGGAAAGUUAUUCUGAGAGGGCCUAAGUGCCCCUGAGUGGGAACAGCAUCGUAGUUUUUUCAGCAUUCCUCAGUGGAAAUGUCAGUGGGGCUGGCUGCAGUCAAGAAAAUAGGAGGUGUUAGUUGUGACCCAGUUUUUAACGGGACUGGUGUGGUUUCUUUGUUUGAGGAGCAGGCUUACAUGAGGAGAUGACAUCUAUCUGCUAGCAGGGGAUUGGCCUUCUGGAGUAGUAAAUAGGCAUUUGUGAGGGUGUCUUUUAGGUAGUUGGGGAGGAUUGGUAGAAGGGGUUUUGGUUAGUGAGGGGUUGAGGCAAAUCAGGAGAAGAAGCAUAAUCAGAGUGGGGAGAGGUAUGGAAUGAAGUAGUGGUUGUUUUGGUGUGGCCUUUAGUGUGUGUAGUCGUAUUAGUAUGAGUCCUGCCAGGAAGAAGAAGAUAAAUAAGACACCUCUUGUGGUGUUCCAGUCAGCUGGGGCAACUCGGCUAGGCCUGCUGCAAAGGCAAGGGUGAAGGGUGUGUAAGUUAGUAGGAAAACAGGAUGACAAUUCAUAUGGGGAGGUAGCGGGUUAUGUAGGAGGUGGGGGGCUUUGAUGUUUAGGUAGGAGGAGUGGCCAGGCAGAGGAUGAGAAAGUAAAUGAAAAAGUAGAUUUUGUCUGGGGAGAAAUCAGUCGGUGUGGGCUCUCUGGAAAAAGGUCUUGUAUUUAAAGGAGGAGGGAAUCUAAGGAAUUAGAUUGUGUGUGGAACCAUGAAUGGUCAUGGCAAAUUUUUCUUAAGAAAUGGAUAAAACGCCAGACUAGAAAGAGGUAGCACAUCUAUCUUUGGGGUAUCCAAGUAAGCUGGAGAGAGGUUGGAGAGACUACUUGCCAUUUCCAGUGAGUUUAGUGGGCCAAUGUACCUGGGGACAGGUCGAUGCGGUACUACUUCAAGCGCAAAUGAUGAAUUCAGUGGGGGGUAGUCUUGUAGGUGGGCAGCAGGUGGGUGCUAUAGAUGACUGUGUGUGGACCUGUCCAUUUGGGCUUUAGUGGUG
ensembl:lincRNA